ACGUUAGCGGCGGACGGGUGAGUAACACGUGGGUAACCUACCUAUAAGACUGGGAUAACUUCGGGAAACCGGAGCUAAUACCGGAUAAUAUUUCGAACCGCAUGGUUCGAUAGCGAAAGAUGGUUUUGCUAUCACUUAUAGAUGGACCCGCGCCGUAUUAGCUAGUUGGUAAGGUAACGGCUUACCAAGGCGACGAUACGUAGCCGACCUGAGAGGGUGAUCGGCCACACUGGAACUGAGACACGGUCCAGACUCCUACGGGAGGCAGCAGCA
rnacentral:rRNA from 1 species